UUCUGGCGUCAGGAUGAACGCUAGCUACAGGCUUAACACAUGCAAGUCGAGGGGCAGCAUGUUGGUUGCUGCGACCAAUGAUGGCGACCGGCGCACGGGUGAGUAACGCGUAUCCAACUCCCCUUAGUAGAGGAUAGCCCGGCGAAAGUCGGAUUAAUACUCUAUGUUCUUCAAUGCGGACAUCUAAGUUGAAGCAAAGAUUUAUCGCUAAGGGAUGGGGAUGCGUCUGAUUAGGUUGCAGGCGGGGUAACGGCCCACCUGGCCUACGAUCAGUAGGGGUUCUGAGAGGAAGGUCCCCCACACUGGUACUGAGACACGGACCAGACUCCUACGGGAGGCAGCAGUGGGGAAUAUUGGUCAAUGGGCGCGAGCCUGAACCAGCCAAGUAGCGUGCAGGAACCGACUGCCCUAUGGGUUGUAAACUGCUUUUAUCAGGGAAUAAAGUGAGGCACGCGUGCCUUUUUGUAUGUACCUGAUGAAUAAGGACCGGCUAAUUCCGUGCCAGCAGCAGC
rnacentral:rRNA from 1 species